UACAGAGGUCUCAAGCGUUGUUCGGAUUCAUUGGGCGUAAAGGGUGCGUAGGCGGCGCGGUAAGUCGGGUGUGAAAUUUCGGAGCUUAACUCCGAAACUGCAUUCGAUACUGCGGUGCUUGAGGACUGGAGAGGAGACUGGAAUUCAUGGUGUAGCAGUGAAAUGCGUAGAGAUCAUGAGGAAGACCAGUGGCGAAGGCGGGUCUCUGGACAGUACCUGACACUGAGACACGAAGGCCAGGGGAGCAAACGGG
rnacentral:rRNA from 1 species